CUGGAGACAGAGUCUGAGGAGAGCUGGACUUGGUUUUUGCAUAAUCUGUGCCGGGCUAUUGCACAUCCCAAUGGGUUGGUCAUUCAUACAGAUGCCUGCAAAGGUUUAGAAGUGGUCGUGGACAAUGUGUUCCCUGGAGUAGAGCAUAGGGAAUGCAUGCGUCACCUUGCUGCAAAUUUCAUGAAGAAAUUCAAAGGAAAGGUGUAUACUGACAAUUUAUGGCCAGCAUCUUUGACUUGCAGUGUGAAGAAGCACAACUACCACUUGAGGCAGUUAUACAUGGAUCCCAAAGUGAAAGAAUACCUGGAAACACACCACUCCCAGUUAUGGGCCAGAAGCCAAUUCGGUGAACUGAGCAAAGUUGACUAUGUGCACAAUAAUCUAGCAGAGUCUUUCAACUCAACGAUCCGGAAA
rnacentral:rRNA from 1 species